GAUUUUCUAAGCACUUUUUUUAACAUUGUUUGUUAUUUUAAUAUGCGAUUCAUUUUUUUAAAAUAUUAGUUGUUGUUUAAUAUAUACGGGGCCCACAUUUUUUUUCCCAAGAAUUUGGAUGUGGUGGGUUCCACUUUUUUUUUUUUAAUACUGGUUGGUGUUUAAUAUGGGGCCAUGAAGAACUUCUAUUUUUUAAUUUUUAAUAAAUAUUUUUUGUUUAACUCAUUUUACUUGUCAUGUUGUUUUUUAUACGAUUUUUAAGGAAACGUCAAUUAGAAUUAUAAUUUCACUAAUUUAGCUUAUUAAUUAUUUGAUCUCCAUUUAAUAUUAUUUUUUCUUUUAUGACAUUAAUCUCUUUUCACAUUUAUUAGAGUAAGAAAAAAAUGAAAAAGUAAUUCAAUUCUAUCUUAUUUUAAUAUAUAAGUAUUUUAAGUAUGUUGUUGUACAAUAAUUUCAUGUGCUCCCACUAAUGGGUUGAUACGCGUGUGGCAAUGAAUCCAUCAUUAUAGAUUUAAUUGUUUGAUUUUCUAAGCACUUUGUUUUUAACAUUAUUUGUUUUUUUAAUAUGGGAUUCAUUUUUUUUAAUAUUAGUUGUUGUUUAAUAUAUACGGGGCCCACAUUUUUUUCCCAAGAAUUUGGAUGUGGUGGGUUCCACUUUUUUUUUUUUAAAUACUGGUUGGUGUUUAAUAUGGGGCCAUGAAGAACUUCUAUUUUUUAAUUUUUAAUAAAUAUUUUUUGUUUAACUCAUUUUACUUGUCAUGUUGUUUUUUAUACGAUUUUUAAGGAAACGUCAAUUAGAAUUAUAAUUUCACUAAUUUAGCUUAUUAAUUAUUUGAUCUCCAUUUAAUAUUUUUUUUCCUUCUAUGACAUUAAUCUCUUUUCACAUUUAUUAGAGUAAGGAAAAAAUGAAAAAGUAAUUAAAUUCUAUCUUAUUUUAAUAUAUAAGUAUUUUAAGUAUGUUGUUGUACAAUAAUUUCAUGUGCUCCCAUUGAUGGGUUGAUACGCAUGUGGCAAUGAAUCCAUCAUUAUUAAUUUAAUUGUUUGAUUUUCUAAGCACUUUUUUUUAACAUUAUUUGUUUUUUUAAUAUGGGAUUCAUUUUUUUAAAAAUAUUAUUUGUUGUUUAAUAUAUAUGGGGCUCACAUUUUUUUUCCCAAGAGUUUGGAUGUGGUGGGUUCCACUUUUUUUUUCUUUCUUUUUUUUAUUGCUCGAUGUUAUUUAGUAUGGGGCCCACCCUUUUUUUUUUUGAAGGGACAACGGACAACGAAGCAUGGGUCUAAACCCAUGCUAGACCCAUGCUUUAUAUAGUUUUUUUUUUAUUAUUGGAUUCACCUUUUUUUUUAAUAUUGCUUGAUUCUAUUAAUAUGGGGUCCAUUUUUUUUUUUCCUGUGAAUUUGGAUGUGAUGAGUUCGACUUUUUUUUUUUAUUGCUCGGUGUUAUUUAGGCCUUCAAGCUGCCAUAGAAGAAAGGCUAUUUUUUGGUAGAUCUAAGCAUUUUAGAAGUUAAUGAAAUGCUUUGUCCUUGAGAUGCGCGAUGUUCCUUUUUCCCCCUAAAUGUUACACUAUUGGUCCUUAAGUAUAUAUUUUUUUUAAAUCCUACAAGCUGUGUUUGAAGAGCUCAAUUUAGAUUAUGGUUGUUCAUCUUUAAUCUAAUAGAUGCAUGGAUUAAAGAAGCAGGGAUGUAUCAUGACAGUACUUUGUCCUUCAGAUGGAGCCUCAUUUUUAAAAGAUUUCUCCUUUUCUGGUGAAUGGUGCAAUGUCAGUUUACUAUGCAUUGUUUGAUUAAAUUAGAACCAAGCAGAUUAGACCAUGUGAGAUGUAACCGAUGUCUACUGUCUACAUUCCAAGGUUGUUGUUUUCCUUGUUAUUAAAUUCCAGAAUUCUAUCAGUUAAUCAUUAGUACUGUUAACUGCUACAUGCACAUUUUAUUUACGCUAUUACUAAGUUGAAACUUGGUAUGAAUAUCACACUCCAUAAUGGCAAAGACACCUUCUCGUAUGUUUUUAAGACUUUUCAAAAAACCAUUUAGUUUCUGAAACUUGGCAAUUAGAAUAUCACUCAGUUCUUAUUGCUCCAGAGUCCAGCCCGUGUACAAUAUUCUACCUUCAAAAUUAAUAGCGUGAAGUGAUUUCAUUUUCCUUUCUCUGUUGUUCACCUUUGUUCUGGAGUGUUUUUCUUCUGUUGUUUCAUGCAUUAGCCACUGAGAUUAUGUGGAAUUUAACAUUCUGCUUAUUUUUAGGUACUUUGUGUAGUUGGAGAUGUUUUUUUUUUUGCAUGACACAAAUGGGCUGUCCCUUUUGAGAAAGCAAAGUACUUUGAUGAAUUGGACGUGUUGAUGAGUUGCAUUGUUGAUUUGGUUGAUGAGUGUGACUGGCAGGUGGGCUGCUAUAAAAGAGGGUAAAAAAUCCACCAAUGUGCCCUGCCCAAGAUCCUGAUAUAGCCUGGUAUACAAAGAUUGAGACUUGCUUAACUCCCUUACCUGAAGUUUCAAGUGAAGAAGAGGUGGCUGGUGGACAAUUGAAAAAGUGGCCUAAAAGAUUACAAGCGAUACCACCGAGGAUAAGCAGGGGUACUGUAACUACAAUUGAUAAGUGUUUGAAUGUAGUUUUAAUUCGAAUUAGAAGUACUUUGAAGGUGAAUUUGAUUGUAGAAUGUAGUUUAUGGUUGUUUAAGUUUAUGAUGUUUAAGUGUUUCAAUGUAGUUGUAAUUUGAAUUAGAAGUACUUUAAAUUGGAAUUUGAGGUUGAAUUUGAUUGUAGAAUGUUGUAGUUUAUGAUUGUAGAAGUACUUUGAUGAAUUGGAUGUGUUGAUGAAUUGCAUUGUUGAUUUGGUUGA